UCUAUUUCAUAAGGCUGCUAAUAUCUUCAUGGUGGGAAAGUGUGGAAGUGCGCUUGUUUUGUUUGGUGCUUAAUUAGAAAAUGACUUUAAUAAAAUAAUCAUGCUGAACUACUCAAGUUAUAUCAAAAGACUUUUGCAUCAAGUGCGCUUUUGCAUCAUGCUGAUUACAUAGGUUUAACAGAGACUCCUUCACUGGACAUAACCUCUCACAAUGAUACAAAUGCAUUAAUUAACAUCAAAGUCUUCAAGGAGGUUCAUCAAUCUUUGAAGCCAGUACAAUGAAAAGAAUAAACAGGUUUCUGGAACAAAUGAGCAUGCUAGUGUUCCUGCUGCAAACAGGGCACAAGAUGUGGGAUGGCCACCAAUUCGAUCUUUUCGAAAGAACAUGAUGGCCUCUAAUUCGACAAAGAACAAUGAUGAAGCUGAGGGAAAACCAGGCUUUGGUUGGAUGGUGCUCCUUAUCUCAGAAAGAUUGAUCUCAAAAUCUACAACAACUAUAUGGAACUCUCUUCCGCUCUUGAGAAGAUGUUCAGCUGCUUUACCAUUGCUCCAAGAGCCAUGGAAAAAUCAAGGAGCCAAAACUAGUGCAGAAAACCUCGUUGGACCAAAGUGGAGUAUUUGCUAAUGCAUAUAUAAAGGUUUACAAAGAAGUUUGAGUUUAUGGUUAUAUUCCAAAUAAAAUAUAUAUAUGUAACUCAGUGUCAUAGUUUUUGUGCAUUUAUAGUCUAACAAGUUUUCAAUCAGUAGAAAUUUAACUGGAGAGAAUUCGUUUACAUAGUAAUUCGUUUGCAUCUCUGUUUUGUGUACCUUUGGAUUCUUGUUGCUAUAUGAAAAGAAUUGCUUGUUGUGCUUUUUCC